AGCAGCCGCGGUAAUUCCAGCUCCAAUAGCGUAUAUUAAAGUUGUUGCAGUUAAAAAGCUCGUAGUUGAAUUUCGGGGUCAGUAGGUUGGUCGUGCCACUGGUAUGUACUGGCCUCACUGAUUCCUCCCUCUUGUAGAACCGUAAUGCCAUUAAGUUGGUGUUGCGGGGAAACAGGACUGUUACUUUGAAAAAAUUAGAGUGUUUAAAGCAGGCUAACGCUUGAAUACAUUAGCAUGGAAUAAUGAAAUAGGACGUUCGACCCUAUUUUGUUGGUUUCUAGGAUUGACGUAAUGAUUAAUAGGGAUAGUUGGGGGCAUUAGUAUUCAAUUGUCAGAGGUGAAAUUCUUGGAUUUAUUGAAGACUAACUACUGCGAAAGCAUUUGCCGAGGAUGUUUUCAUUAAUCAAGAACGAAAGUUAGGGGAUCGAAGACGAUCAGAUACCGUCGUAGUCUUAACCAUAAACUAUGCCGACUAGGGAUCGGAUGAUGUUAAUUUUAUAAUGACUCAUUCGGCGCCUUACG
rnacentral:rRNA from 1 species